AGAACGAACGCUGGCGGCAUGCCUAAUACAUGCAAGUCGAACGAACUCUUCGGAGUUAGUGGCGCACGGGUGCGUAACGCGUGGGAAUCUGCCCCUUGGUUCGGAAUAACAGUUGGAAACGACUGCUAAUACCGGAUGAUGACGAAAGUCCAAAGAUUUAUCGCCAAGGGAUGAGCCCGCGUAGGAUUAGCUAGUUGGUGAGGUAAAGGCUCACCAAGGCAACGAUCCUUAGCUGGUCUGAGAGGAUGAUCAGCCACACUGGGACUGAGACACGGCCCAGACUCCGUACGGGAGCAGCAGUAGG
rnacentral:rRNA from 1 species